AUCAGUUUGUGAACAAUAUACAGGUAUCCUGAAUUCAGUGUGCAUUAUCAUUGUUUCGUCACAGAAAAACAAUCAGCAAGGGUUCAUCAAUAACAUGGCAGCAAGACGACUGAUUCUGUUGUUAGCAAUUAUCGGCAUAGCUGUGGCCUUAGAAGACCUACAGGAAGCUAUAGCGUUUUGGGCCGAGGAACAAGGGACAUUGAUGGAACAUCACCCAAAUGUUGCAGAAGAAUAUUGGUCAGAGGUCGAAAAUAUUUUAGAAAAUGAUGCAAAUGUUAAUGGUGCGUAGAUGCUGAAUACAACUACCUUCCAAUGACUGGCAGAGAAUGUCUUAGAUACCCUGAAGCGUUGAAAUAAAAUAAAUGGAAAUGAAAUA